rnacentral:rRNA from 1 species
GACGAACGCUGGCGGCGUGCUUAACACAUGCAAGUCACGGGGGCCCGCAAGGGCAACCGGCGAACGGGUGCGUAACACGUGAACAACCUGCCCUCGUGUGGGGGAUAGCCGGGCUAACGCCCGGGUAAUACCGCAUACGUUCUUUCUGGGGAGUCCUGGGAAGAGGAAAGCUCCGGCGCACGGGGAGGGGUUCGCGGCCUAUCAGCUAGUUGGCGGGGUAAUGGCCCACCAAGGCGACGACGGGUAGCUGGUCUGAGAGGAUGGCCAGCCACAUUGGGACUGAGAGACGGCCCAGACUCCUACGGGAGGCAGCAGUGGGGAAUCUUGCGCAAUGGUCGAAAGACUGACGCAGCGACGCCGCGUGUGGGAGGACGCCUUUCGGGGUGUAAACCACUGUUGCCCGGGACGAACGAGCGCUUUCGAGCGCUGUGACGGUACCGGGUGAGGAAGCACCGGCUAACUCCGUGCCAGCCGCCGCAGUAAGAC